rnacentral:lncRNA from 1 species
CCGAUAGUGUGUCCACCCUAGAGGAGUCCAGAGUUUAUCCCAUAGCAUCUAGAAUCCUUAGUUUAGGCUAGAAGACCUUUAGGAUAAUUAGGUAGUUAUACAACCCUUAGUGUGUCUUAGUAUAGUAUAGUAGAGAGUCCUAGUUAUUAGAUAGUUUAGAUAAGUCCUAGUACAAUUAAAGUAGUUGUAGCAUAAGUCUUAGUUAUAGUUAAAAGUCCUGGUAACACUAGUUAUAGCAUAAGUCUUGGUAGACUAAAUAGUUAGUAUAGGCCUAGCAUAAAUAUAGAU